rnacentral:tRNA from 1 species
GGGCGACUAGCUCAGCUGGUUAGAGCGCACGGUUCACAUCCGUGAGGUCACUGGUUCGAGUCCAGUGUCGCCCA